rnacentral:misc_RNA from 1 species
AACGCAUAUUGCGCUCCUCGGCAUUCCGUGGAGCAUGCCUGUUUGAUGCGUGCCUGAAAAAGAAGACCGGGGGGUGACUGGGGUUGGCCGGCUACCUCUCUUUCGUUUCUGAGCUUUCUCACACGUUGAGUAGUUCCAAGUCACAUAUUUUGAGAGAUCGCUGCCAGCGGACGGCUCAACGACUUUGUCAGCCGGCGUUUGAAGGAUACAUCUCCUAAUGUGAACUGAUAGUAUAGUACACUGUUCAGAAAGCAGAAGGAGCCUUUUAAACGAACCGACGGAUAAAGGCGGUGAGCACAAAGCUGGCCGAGGCGCAUCUUUAUCGAGCGGAUCAUCAGCCCUUUGGGCCGGUGGUUUCCUCGGGUUUACGCAUCAAAUCAGGUAGGGAUACCCGCUGAACUUAA